GCCCAGGUGGCGGAAUUGGUAGACGCGUUGGUCUCAAACACCAAUGUCCUUGGACGUGCCGGUUCGAGCCCGGCCCUGGGUA
rnacentral:tRNA from 1 species